CUGUUCGAGCGUCAUUAUGACCACUCAAGCCUUGGCUUGGUAUUGGGGUUCGCGGUCUCGCGGCCCUUAAAAUCAGUGGCGGUGCCAUCUGGCUCUAAGCGUAGUAAUCUAUCUCGCUAUUGGGUCCGGUAGUUGCUUGCUAACAACCCCCAACUUCUAAGGUUGACCUCGGAUCAGGUAGGGAUACCCGCUGAACUUAA
rnacentral:misc_RNA from 1 species